UCUCUCUCUUUGUCUUUUUAAAACACGCCCACGCAAACGCAUGCACGUGGUGCAUGGUUUGACCAGUUUAAACGGCCUUCGGUUCAGCUGACUCAGGUCCUCCAGGAGCCGAACUGAUGCACGCUGUCAGCAGGUAGCGCCUUCUGUCCUCGGGCCACCUCGGGCCCGUAAUGAGGUAACAAGCCCAAGUCUAGGCAAGACUCUGAUUAGCCAAAUAUAAUAAGCUGGUGGAUCAUAAUGAAAUUGGCUGGGCUCCUUUUUCAACUAGAGCCAGCAGCUAAAGAAGUUAGAGGAAGUCUUCAUCCUCCUGCUGGAUGUACUUGAGCCGUUCAGAUGGAAAUGAACUCAUCCUUCGAGUGUCAGACGCUACGAUUGAAGGGCAUGGGUCCACGUUUAUGGGCUUUGCUCCAGGGAUGAAAGCUGGAGAAUUCGCCGCAGUGCCGAUGAUCCUUUGCUCAACGUUGCUUCACUUAACAGACUAAAACAAUGAUGCCGGCAGUCCCCUGAAACUACGGCACGUUUUCCUCCAUCCAUCAUCCACGGCGUAUUACACACAACGUAGCUGCCAUCCACAUUCUGAAUUAGCGUUGCAGAACGGAACCCCUCUGAGAUAAUCACUUUUUCAUCAGCGGCAGUGUGACAAAUUCAGAUGAGGAUGUGCUGGGUAAAACAAAGGACAGACACAUAUGGAACGAGACUCCAGCUUCGGCGUCUUUCUCACGGUUUGAAUCUCCUCAGGUCUUACGCCUGGAUCAUCUGAGAUAAAAUCCUAAGUGAACUAUAUAUUUGAGGAAUUGCAUGUUUUUUUG
rnacentral:lncRNA from 1 species